GCCUUCAUGAAGCCGGAAUUGCUAGUAAUGGCAGGUCAGCAUACUGCCGUGAAUACGUUCCCGGGCCUUGUACACACCGCCCGUCACACCAUGAGAGUUGGAAAUACCCGAAGCCUGUGAGCUAACUUAAAGAGGCAGCAGUCGAAGGUAGAAUCAAUGAUUGGGGUGAAGUCGUAACAAGGUAAC
rnacentral:rRNA from 1 species